rnacentral:rRNA from 1 species
CACGUAGUUAGCCGGCGCUUCUUCUGCAGGUACCGUCACCAACCCAAAAGGCCGGCUUCUUCCCUACUGAAAGAGGUUUACAACCCGAAGGCCUUCAUCCCUCACGCGGCGUCGCUGCAUCAGGCUUGCGCCCAUUGUGCAAUAUUCCCCACUGCUGCCUCCCGUAGGAGUCUGGGCCGUGUCUCAGUCCCAGUGUGGCCGGUCACCCUCUCAGGCCGGCUACCCGUCGUCGCCUUGGUAGGCCAUUACCCCACCAACAAGCUGAUAGGCCGCGAGUCCAUCCAAAACCACAAAAGCUUUCCACCAACAUGGCAUGCGCCAGAAGUCGUAUCCAGUAUUAGACCCGUUUCCAGGCUAUCCCAGAGUCAAGGGCAGGUUACUCACGUGUACUCACCGUUCGCCACUAAUCCACAGCAAGCUGGCUUCAUCGUUCGACUUGCAUGUGUUAAGCACGCCGCCAGCGUUCAUCCUGAGCCAGGAUCAAACUCU